AGUGAACGCUGGCGGUAGGCCUAACACAUGCAAGUCGAACGGCAGCACAGGAGAGCUUGCUCUCUGGGUGGCGAGUGGCGGACGGGUGAGGAAUACAUCGGAAUCUACUCUGUCGUGGGGGAUAACGUAGGGAAACUUACGCUAAUACCGCAUACGACCUACGGGUGAAAGCAGGGGAUCUUCGGACCUUGCGCGAUUGAAUGAGCCGAUGUCGGAUUAGCUAGUUGGCGGGGUAAAGGCCCACCAAGGCGACGAUCCGUAGUUGGUCUGAGAGGAUGAUCAGCCACACUGGAACUGAGACACGGUCCAGACUCCUACGGGAGGCAGCAGUGGGGAAUAUUGGACAAUGGGCGCAAGCCUGAUCCAGCCAUACCGCGUGGGUGAAGAAGGCCUUCGGGUUGUAAAGCCCUUUUGUUGGGAAAGAAAUCCAGCUGGUUAAUACCCGGUUGGGAUGACGGUACCCAAAGAAUAAGCACCGGCUAACUUCGUGCCAGCAGCCGCCGUAA
rnacentral:rRNA from 1 species